CUUCUCUGAGUCGCGCCCAACGAAGACGCCAUUGCCGCCGUUGAGCGCGUAAAUGUAGCGCCGCUGCGCUGUAGCUCCGGGGGACGACGAGGAACUACUGCCCAAAGGAGACGGCUAUCUUCUGCACCUCGAUGAUCUUAGGCUGUGCGGUUGAAUAGGAUCUGGCCAUCGUCCUUUACAGCUCAGGAUCUGAGCAACCAUGGAGUCCAUGGGAAGUGCCGCCUAAGUUUUGCCAUGGUCAACUACGGCAAUGGGAGUUGAAGAUGAUGCCAACAGUUUUGCCUUGGGCACGAUCCAUCAGGUCGAAAACGAUGGAAAUAGCUACCCUACGCCAACGCGAACUAGCAGUCUUCUGUUUUGUGGGUCAAGAUAUGAUCCCGAGUGUGAUCCUAACUUACAACCCGUAAUUGGUAUGCAAUUUGAUACCUGGGAGGAAGGUAUGGCAUUCUUGCUUUGUACUUUAGCAAGUUCAUCUCAAAUUCAUGCACUAGCAAAGGGCCAAGCAUAUUACUGAGGAUUUACUUUGUUGAAUACUUCCGUUGUUAAACCUAGAAGACUGUUGAUUGAGGUUAGUUUCGGUAAAGUUGCACAAAGUUAUGUUCUACUCCAGGUACAAGUCAGGAGCCGGUUAAGUCUGAAUUAUUUCUCUCCGUAAUGAUUUUAUAUGUGAUUUGAUCUAAGUUCAUGCCCCUCUGCUGUUGUGCAGCGGGAGGUUAAUUGAAUUUGUAUCUAUUUACCUGGUGAUGCAGAUUAAUAGUUGUUUUAUGGUCUCAGGCUGGGGACUGAUCGACUCAUUUUUUAGGCGAACAUAAAGAGUGACCAGGAGUUAUGUAAAUCUGUAAUUACUUCUUUCUUCUCUUUCUUUUUGCAUGUGAUGCUUUAGCUAAUUUGUUAACCAACAAAUCUCUGAUCUGGCUAUUCUGUGGAAAAGAAUGAUAAGUCGCUCGUAACCAUUUUUCACAUACAGUCAUUACAUUCAUGCACAAAUCUUACUUUAUAGCCUGCAGGAGAUA